UCCUACGGGAGGCAGCAGUAGGGAAUUUUGCACAAUGGCCGAAAGGCUGAUGCAGCAACGCCGCGUGAGUGAAGAAGGCCUUCGGGUUGUAAAGCUCUGUUGCCCGUGAAGAACGGCUUAGGGAGGAAAUGCCCUGAGUUUGACGGUAGCGGGAGAGGAAGCCCCGGCAAACUACGUGCCAGCAGCCGCGGUAAUACGUAGGGGGCGAGCGUUGUCCGGAUUUAUUGGGCGUAAAGGGCGUGUAGGCGGCCUGUUAAGUCGGGAGUGAAACCCCGGGGCUCAACCCCGGGCCUGCUUCCGAAACUGAUGGGCUUGAGUGCUCUAGAGGGCAGUGGAAUUCCCGGUGUAGCAGUGAAAUGCGUAGAGAUCGGGAGGAACACCAGUGGCGAAGGCGACUGCCUGGGGAGUAACUGACGCUGAGGCGCGGAAGCUAGGGGAGCAAACAGGAUUAGAUACCCUGGUAGUCCUAGCCGUAAACGAUGAGUGCUAUGUGUGAGGGGUAUCGACCCCCCUCGUGCAGCAGUUAACGCAAUAAGCACUCCGCCUGGGGAGUACGGCCGCAAGGUUGAAACUCAAAGGAAUUGACGG
rnacentral:rRNA from 1 species